rnacentral:rRNA from 1 species
GAAUCGCUAGUAAUCGUGGAUCAGAAUGUCACGGUGAAUACGUUCCCGGGCCUUGUACACACCGCCCGUCACACCACGAGAGUUGGUAACACCCGAAGUCGGUGAGGUAACCUUUUGGAGCCAGCCGCCGAAGGUGGGACCAAUGAUUGGGGUGAAGUCGUAACAAGGUAGCCGUAUCGGAAGGUGCGGCUGGAUCACCUCCUU